rnacentral:rRNA from 1 species
UACAGAGGGGGCCAGCGUUAUUCGGAAUUAUUGGGCGUAAAGGGCGCGUAGGCGGCCAUGCGUGUCUUCCGUGAAAUCCCUCGGCUUAACCGAGGACGUGCGGAAGAAACUGCAAGGCUCGAGUCCGGAAGAGGGGGGCGGAAUUCCCAGUGUAGCGGUGAAAUGCGUAGAUAUUGGGAGGAACACCAGUGGCGAAGGCGGUCCCCUGGGCCGGAACUGACGCUGAGGCACGAAAGCGUGGGGAGCAAACAGG